rnacentral:sRNA from 1 species
CAACAACCCGCCGUUAAAUCGGGGUACCGAUUUUAACGGGGGCUUGAAAUCAAGCCCAAGUUGACCAGACUGUGUACCAAUCAUGUACUCCGUUAGUGGCAAGCGUUAAAAGUCUUACCUACGGAUGCGAAGCUAGUCUGUAGCUCUAAA